rnacentral:rRNA from 1 species
UACGAAGGGGGCUAGCGUUGCUCGGAAUCACUGGGCGUAAAAGGGCGCGUAGGCGGCGUUUUAAGUCGGGGGUGAAAGCCUGUGGCUCACCACAGAAUGGCCUUCGAUACUGGGACGCUUGAGUAUGGUAGAGGUUGGUGGAACUGCGAGUGUAGAGGUGAAAUUCGUAGAUAUUCGCAAGAACACCGGUGGCGAAGGCGGCCAACUG